ensembl:snoRNA small nucleolar RNA, C/D box 113-2
UAGACAAAUGAUGAGUACUCUGAGGUGUAUGCUUCAAAGAUUUUGAUUAAACUCUCUAACUUUGAGGUCCAU